rnacentral:rRNA from 1 species
AACCUUACCAGGGCUUAAAUGUAGUCUGACAGGGCUGGAAACAGCUUUUUCUUCGGACAGAUUACAAGGUGCUGCAUGGUUGUCGUCAGCUCGUGCCGUGAGGUGUCAGGUUAAGUCCUAUAACGAGCGCAACCCCUGUGGUUAGUUGCCAGCGAGUAAUGUCGGGAACUCUAGCCAGACUGCCGGUGCAAACCGUGAGGAAGGUGGGGAUGACGUCAAAUCAUCACGGCCCUUACGUCCUGGGCCACACACGUGCUACAAUGGUAGGGACAGAGAGCAGCCACUUCGCGAGAAGGAGCGAAUCUACAAACCCUAUCACAGUUCGGAUCGCAGUCUGCAACUCGACUGCGUGAAGCUGGAAUCGCUAGUAAUCGCAUAUCAGCCAUGAUGCGGUGAAUACGUUCCCGGGCCUUGUACACACCGCCCGUCAAGCCAUGGAAGCCGGGGGUACCUGAAGUCGGUCACCGCAAGGAGCCGCCUAGGGUAAAACUGGUAACUGGGGCUAAGUCGUAACAAGGUAACCGUAAAGGGC